UUUAAUGCUGCCGCCACCACAGUUUCUCUGCAGUCCCGCGUGCGAGGUCACGAUAUGCGCCUGGUUUCGUAGGCGAUUUGAUGAACUACAAAUUUCAUCGUGGGUAUGCAGGCUUUAGGGAAGUAACUCACCUUUACACCAGAGCAAGAGCGAGGUGCUCGCGAUGCAGAAGGACGGAAUUAUUUCAGCAUUUCUAUGCGUGUUCAUAAUUGCCCCGUUCCUAUCACACGGUCGGACUGCCUCGAAAGUCACCCCUGACAUGACGAAGUUUCUGAAUACAAGCGAUCCAAUAUGGUCUUACCUAACGACAUCACAGAAGAGAGAGUAUGAUUGCAAAGUGGACGUUAUUGAUGAUAUAUUCAACGAGGACGUGCUUUUCCGGAGAUACCUUGCUUAUCGAAAAGUCAUAAUCAGUGAAUGGGUGCAGUUUCUCGAUGGAGACAUACUAUAAAAGCGCUCGAUACCAAACCGAGAUCAAGGCAUACAACGCAAUGAACGUGAGCUACCGAGAACAUGGGACUCCUUUAGACAGCGAAACGUUAGUAUACCAGAGCGCGGACAAUAUGUGCGGUAUAUUUGCAGUUGAAGACACGGUAAAUGAUGGACAACAAAUCACGUAUGAACUGCGGGUGAAAAAUUCUUCAAGAGAAGCAGCCAAUCGUACUGACUGUUUUCAAACGUUCACUAAAAUUGCCAGAAAACAAGCUAAAGUCACGUACCUACCAGACUGCCAAGACAUACUGAUAGGAAUUAACAAUAUCAUCCCUGGCGGUAGCCCAGAUAAUGGAGCCGUGGGCUUAAUUUACUUUAUGAACGCAGAACCUCCUGUCCACACUC